rnacentral:rRNA from 1 species
AGUGAUUGAUACCCUGCUUCCAAGAAAAGCCUCUAAGCUUCAGUUAUCAAGAGACCGUACCGCAAACCGACACAGGUGGGCAGGAUGAAAAUUCUCAGGCGCUUGAGAGAACUCAGGAGAAGGAACUCGGCAAAUUUGCACCGUAACUUCGGGAGAAGGUGCGCCCUGAUAGGUUGUGGCCCCUCGCGGGUGAAGGCUGAAAGGGUUGCAGUGAACUGGUAGCUGCGACUGUUUAAUAAAAACACAGCACUCUGCAAACACGAAAGUGGACGUAUAGGGUGUGACGCCUGCCCGGUGCCGGAAGGUUAAGUGAUGGGGUGCAAGCUCUUGAUCGAAGCCCCGGUAAACGGCGGCCGUAACGAUAACGGUCCUAAGGUAGCGAAAUUCCUGUCGGGUAAGUUCCGACCUGCACGAAUGGCGUAACGAUGGCCACACUGUCUCCUCCUGAGACUCAGCGAAGUUGAAAUGGUUGUGAAGAUGCAAUCUCCCCGCGGUUAGACGGAAAGACCCCAUGAACCUUUACUGUAGCUUUGCAUUGGACUUUGAACCGACUUGUGUAGGAUAGGUGGGAGGCUGUGAAACCGGGACGCUAGUCCGGGUGGAGCCAACCUUGAAAUACCACCCUGGUUUGUUUGAGGUUCUAACCACGGCCCGUGAAUCCGGGUCUGGGACCGUGCAUGGUAGGCAGUUUGACUGGGGCGGUCUCCUCCUAAAGUGUAACGGAGGAGUACGAAGGUACGCUAGGUACGGUCGGACAUCGUGCUAAUAGUGCAAUGGCAAAAGCGUGCUUGACUGCGAGACCCACACGUCGAGCAGGUACGAAAGUAGGUCAUAGUGAUCCGGUGGUUCUGUAUGGAAGGGCCAUCGCUCAACGGAUAAAAGGUACUCUGGGGAUAACAGGCUAAUACCGCCCAAGAGUUCAUAUCGACGGCGGUGUUUGGCACCUCGAUGUCGGCUCAUCACAUCCUGGGGCUGUAGUCGGUCCCAAGGGUAUGGCUGUUCGCCAUUUAAAGUGGUACGUGAGCUGGGUUUAAAACGUCGUGAGACAGUUUGGUCCCUAUCUGCCGUGGGCGCUGGAAAUUUGAAGGGGGCUGCUCCUAGUACGAGAGGACCGGAGUGGACGAACCUCUGGUGUACCGGUUAUGACGCCAGUCGUAUCGCCGGGUAGCUAUGUUCGGAAGAGAUAAACGCUGAAAGCAUCUAAGCGUGAAACUCGCCUUAAGAUGAGAUUUCCCCGGGGACUUGAUCCCCCUGAAGGGUCGUGGUAGACCACCACGUUGAUAGGCUG